UACGUAGGGUGCGAGCGUUAAUCGGAAUUACUGGGCGUAAAGCGUGCGCAGGCGGUUCGUUGUGUCGGUGGUGAAAGCCCCGGGCUUAAACCCUGGGGAAUGGCCAUGGAAAACUGGCGAACUGGAGUGUGGCAGAGGGGGGUGGAAUUCCGCGGUGUAGCAGUGAAAUGCGUAGAUAAUGCGGAGGAACACCGAUGGCGAAGGCAAUCCCCUGGGCC
rnacentral:rRNA from 1 species